rnacentral:rRNA from 1 species
GAUGAACGCUGGCGGCGUGCUUAACACAUGCAAGUCGAACGAAUUAUUCUAGAGGAAGUUUUCGGAUGGAAUCUAGGAUAGUUAGUGGCGGACGGGUGAGUAACGCGUGGGAAACCUGCCCUAUACAGGGGGAUAGCCUCGGGAAACCGGGAUUAAUACCCCAUGAAACUUGAGUCUCGCAUGAGACAUAAGUCAAAGAUUUAUCGGUAUAGGAUGGUCCCGCGUCUAAUUAGCUAGUUGGUGAGGUAACGGCUCACCAAGGCGACGAUCAGUAGCCGGCCUGAGAGGGUGAACGGCCACACUGGAACUGAGAAACGGUCCAGACUCCUACGGGAGGCAGCAGUGGGGAAUAUUGGGCAAUGGGGGAAACCCUGACCCAGCGACGUCGCGUGAGGGAAGAAGGUCUUCGGAUUGUAAACUUCUUUUAUACGGGUAAUAAAGUGCCCACGCGUGGGUUUGCAUGUACCGUAUGAAUAAGGAUCGGCUAACUCCGUGCCAGCAGCCGCGGUA